CUGAGGAAGAGAGGCGGCUCUCGGGUCGCUGCCGCCCGGUUUGGGACCGUGUGAGCCGCGUUUGUGCUGCGGGCUGGGUCUGUGUCCCCAAAAGGCCCUCGCAGGAAAAUGUUGCCGUAGAGCUGGUGCUGAAAAGUGAUCGGAAGACGUAUGAAAGUUCAAGAAACUUGCCCUACCCGAGUCCUUUAAGUAAAGGAGAAGAAAUCAAAGCAGUUUGUAGGCCAUUCUUGGAAAAGAGAUAUUGAAAAAAGAAUCCUACUUUC